rnacentral:rRNA from 1 species
UAACGUGUGGGCAACCUGCCCUGUACUGGGGAAUAAUCAUUGGAAACGAUGACUAAUACCGCAUGUGGUCCUCGGAAGGCAUCUUCUGAGGAAGAAAGGAUUUAUUCGGUACAGGAUGGGCCCGCAUCUGAUUAGCUAGUUGGUGAGAUAACAGCCCACCAAGGCGACGAUCAGUAGCCGACCUGAGAGGUUGAACGGCCACAUUGGGACUGAGACACGGCCCAG